GUACUCGCUUCGGCAGCACAUAUACUAAAAUUGGAACGAUACACAGAAGAUUAGCAUGGACCCUGCACAAGGAUGACAUGCAAAGAAGA
ensembl:snRNA U6 U6 spliceosomal RNA